UCUGCCGGGCCAGGAGUCGGUAGCACAUGCAAUCAGCGGCUGGAGCAAUCACAACAAGUGCUGAAUUAUAAAUACAUGUUGGUAUUGUUUUAGGAAAUCACUGGAAAAGAAGACACACCCACGAGUUCCACGCUCUCCCCGCCGCAGAGAGCAUCAGCUGGAGGAGAGAGACGCCAUCCCAGAAAACCCUGCGGCAUGCUCCUGUGUGUGUGUGUGUGUGUGUGUGUGUGUGUGUGUGUGUGUGUGUGUGUGUGUGUGUUUUAUUCUCUCAGUCCCCAAUGUGUUCCAGGUCAGUGGUCUGAAUCACACAUACAGAAGCCAGCUCCUCCUGGGCCACUGUAUGUUCACCUGCCACCCAGUGUGUGUGUGUGUGUGUGUGUGUGUGUGUGUGUGUGUGUGUGUGUGUGUGUGUGUGUGUGUGUGUGUGUGUGUGUUUUGUGCGAGACAGCCAGUGUCUUUCUGAUAAACGGUGCCAGAUCUUAAGAUGAUGUCAGAUGCGAGCUGCUGGCCCGAGUCCAGAUGGAUCCGAAGUCUCCCAGAGGAGGAGGAUGAGUCUGGUAGAUGGAGGUGCCAAAAGCACCGAGGGGGGAGGGGGGGU